rnacentral:lncRNA from 1 species
GUCUUACCAAUAUGCAGAAACAGUCAAAUAGAGAGAGUGAAGGAAACCCUGGGAGGAGACCCACCCUAGUCAAUGUCAAGAAAACAGCAAAGAGGGGGUGGAGAACUGAACUAAAUGGAAUGAAGACCGAUAAUUGACAUCUAAAUGUGUUAUGUAAUCAACUUAAUCCUAGAUUUAAAUUGUACCAACAAACGAUAAAGUAAAAAAAGAAUAUUUUUGGAACAACUGAGGAAAUUAAAUCAUAUUAACGCUAUCAGAUAGAGGUUACUAAACUUGUUACAUUUCUUGACCCCUGCUGUAUUUUAAGCCUGUAGUCAAAUAUGGGCACAUACGUAGCAGAAUUCGAGUAUAUUCUUGUUGCUCAGAAUCAGGGAGAUAAGAGGGGUGGAGAUUGAAGCUCUCACCCAGAGACUAGAAAUCGGGGAUGGUGCAAAAUACUAUGUCACUUCACCUUAUGGACACAUUGUAUGAUCACCUAGUCCGAAUCUCUACCACCACGGGUGCUUGAGAAACCCCGAUGGAGAAAAAUCGCUUAUUCUGAGAAACUAGGUUGAAGCACAGGAUCUCGCCGCUUACACAGGUCUAGUAUGGAUGUUAUCUCUGGGGGAAGGUAGACACUGUUCACAACUAAUUCAGAAUCCAGUGUGUGUUCUUCCGCCCACAGCACCAGCGGCGACCGGUUCCUAGCCGCAGCUCAGCCAGCAGCCAAAGCUAAGCGGUGGGCGUGACCUGCUCUGUGGGAGGAGCCUUGAGGUAGGCGGGACGUGGACCGGCACCGCGCGUGCGUAGAGCUGUCAGCCGCACCCACGCCGCGCUUCUAGCAAAGUUGCAAAGCAACGGGCAGACCUGUCAGAACGGUGAAGAUCCCGGCGAUGGAAGAAAGGCGAAACUGCUCCGCGUGGGCUGCCCGGAGUGGCAUCGCGCCUUGUUCGAGUCCGAAGAAGUUCCCGCUUCUCUAAGCCGGCUGAAGGGAUGCGAGUCUCCUCCUCUUGUCCCAACGGGACUGCGUCCUGACACCGAGUGGACUCCGCCCCAAGAGUGCGAGCGUCCUGAGCGUUCAGGGCAUCCUGAGCCGCGGAAGGCAUCCGGCCACACCCCGCUCUUUUUCCGCCAACGCCAGCCCAGGUGGCCAGGCUCAGAAUGGACUGUGAGCCUGUGUGUUAUGUAUCUCUGGUUGUAG